rnacentral:rRNA from 1 species
UACGUAGGUGACAAGCGUUGUCCGGAUUUACUGGGCGUAAAGAGCGCGCAGGCGGUCGAUCAAGUCGAGUGUGAAAGCCCCCGGCUCAACUGGGGAGGGUCAUUCGAUACUGAUCGACUCGAAGGCAGGAGAGGGUAGUGGAAUUCCCGGUGUAGUGGUGAAAUGCGUAGAUAUCGGGAGGAACACCAGUGGCGAAGGCGACUACCUGGCCUGUUCUGAC